AUGCUGGUGAUGAAGUUGCCCAAGAUGACAUCCCAGCUCCAGAACAGAGCACCUGAUGGAGCUGUGGGUGACCAUCCUCAGUGCAGGGAGUGGGACCUGAUGGCCUUUAAAGGUCCCUUCCAACUCAAUGAUGCUAUGAAGACAUCCCCAUUCCUCUGCUUCCAUGAUUUUGGAGAAUCUGGAGCAUGCUAUGGUUCAUACAAGCAGUAUGGAGCACACUGAGAACAGGAUAGUUCCAACCUGCUGGCAAGCAGCUUUCAAGAACAAAGAAGAGCUGCCCCAUGGAGCUGAGAUACCAUCAGUUGGCUCUUGGUGUGGCGAAGGCUCCCACUCAACUUAGAGUUGUGAAAGUCCAUGUCACGUUGCUUUCUUCAUUUUACUGAUCCUUUGGAAGUGGUGGUGGAUGCCCCAUAUUCCAUCCCUGGAGGUGCCCAAGGCCAGCUUGGGUUGGGGCCCUGGGAGGCUGAGUUGGAAGGGGAGCAAUGGGGUUGGAACUGGAUGAUCUUCAAGGGCCCUUCCACAACCCAAACCAUUCUGUGAUUCUACGAUACUCCAUUCACCAUUAUAUUUUAACCAAAAUUUAAACUGGUUGAUUUUAGAGCUGAGUGCUGAGAGAUGACAUUGGAUAAAGCUUCAAGAAAUAUUUUAAAGGAUAUCUAAAGCAAAAGAGGAUCUCCUUCAAGAGCUAUUCAUGUAUUUAAGAGCUGGGUCUGCUUCCCACUGCUCCUAACAAAUCACUAAUUCUGUUUGUGGCUGUCCAUCUAAGUUGAUCCUUUCAAGGGAAGAACACAUCUGUUCUCACCUCCCAGAGGACAAGGCUGGGGCUCUUUGAUGUUCUCAAGUUCAGUGGACGUUAAUUAGUGUCAUUCUUGCAAAUUGAGAAAAAUCAGCUGACAGCUCUCGUGAGUGCCAUAUACAAAGAUUGGAAGAAGAUAACCAUCAGAGGAAAUACCUAGAGGAAAGGGGACUUCAAUAUCUGAGAUGAAGAUGAGCUCAAGACGUGGUGUUAGACUUGACUCGGUGCCUUUCUGCUCCAGGUGAAAUUCAGGCUGCAUCCUUUGGGCUGUUUGUUGAAUCACAUUUGCUGCAGCUGUUUUCUGCAGUUGUUCCAAGAAAGUUAUCAGCACAAAGGGAACCAGGUACCAGGACUGUCCUAACAACUGGAACUGGAAAUACUGCAGGACUGCUCCUAAGGAUGAGAUCUGUCCUAUUGGAGGAAGCGUGUGUUUGGUGCUCCCAGCGUGCCCUCUUGUGUUCUGGGAGAGCAUAUGUGAAAGGCAGAGGAGAAAACACCCACAAAGAAGCAGAGAAUUCAGCAGGGAUGACGAACAGCAAAACUGAAAUGAAGAUGGCAACUGUGGCAUCAGAGACAAAGCUGCAACGGAUCAGUCAGAAAAUUGGUGGUGUUUUAAACGCAUA